rnacentral:rRNA from 1 species
ACGGGAGGCAGCAGUGGGGAAUAUUGGGCAAUGGGCGCAAGCCUGACCCAGCAACGCCGCGUGAAGGAAGAAGGCUUUCGGGUUGUAAACUUCUUUUAUCAGGGACGAAGAAAGUGACGGUACCUGAUGAAUAAGCCACGGCUAACUACGUGCCAGCAGCCGCGGUAAUACGUAGGGGACAAGCGUAAUCCGGAUUUACUGGGUGUAAAGGGAGCGUAGACGGCAUGGCAAGUCUGAUGUGAAAGCCCGGGGCUCAACCCCGGGACUGCAUUGGAAACUGUUAAGCUAGAGUGCAGGAGAGGUAAGUGGAAUUCCUAGUGUAGCGGUGAAAUGCGUAGAUAUUAGGAGGAACACCAGUGGCGAAGGCGGCUUACUGGACUGUAACUGACGUUGAGGCUCGAAAGCGUGGGGAGCAAACAGGAUUAGAUACCCUGGUA